UGCGUAGGCGGUUAGAUAAGUCAGAGGUGAAAGCCCGCAGCUCAACUGUGGAAUUGCCUUUGAUACUGUUUAACUUGAAUCAGGUUGAGGUUGGCGGAAUGUGACAUGUAGCGGUGAAAUGCAUAGAUAUGUCAUAGAACACCAAUUGCGAAGGCAGCUAACUAGACCUGUAUUGACGCUGAGGCACGAAAGCGUGGGGAGCGAACAGGAUUAGAUACCCUGGUAGUCC
rnacentral:rRNA from 1 species